rnacentral:rRNA from 1 species
GAUGAACGCUGGCGGCGUGCCUAAUACAUGCAAGUCGAGCGAACGGACGAGAAGCUUGCUUCUCUGAUGUUAGCGGCGGACGGGUGAGUAACACGUGGAUAACCUACCUAUAAGACUGGGAUAACUUCGGGAAACCGGAGCUAAUACCGGAUAAUAUUUUGAACCGCAUGGUUCAAUAGUGAAAGACGGUCUUGCUGUCACUUAUAGAUGGAUCCGCGCUGCAUUAGCUAGUUGUUAAGGUAACGGCUUACCAAGGCAACGAUGCAUAGCCGACCUGAGAGGGUGAUCGGCCACACUGGAAGUGAGACACGGUCCAGACUCCUACGGGAGGCAGCAGUAGGGAAUCUUCCGCAAUGGGCGAAAGCAUGACGGAGCAACGCCGCGUGAGUGAUGAAGGUCUUCGGAUCGUAAAACUCUGUUAUUAGGGAAGAACAUAUGUGUAAGUAACUGUGCACAUCUUGACGGUACCUAAUCAGAAAGCCACGGCUAACUACGUG